AGCGGCGCGCUGGCUGGUUACCAAGGUUACCACCGAGACGCCGAGUCCUCAGCUGGUCGUAGACCUGCGUGGCGUCGGGGCCGUGGCACGGUCGGGUCCGGGGAAGUGAGGAGCGUCUCUGCCUGGCCGCCCAUUGUCUGGGAUGUGAGGAGCCCCUCUGCCCAGCCGCCCCAUCUGGGAAGUAAGGAGCGCCUCUGCCCGGCCGCCAUCCCGUAUAGAAAGUGAGGAACGUCUCUGCCCGGCCGCCCAUCGUCUGGGAUGUGAGGAGCGCCUCUGCCCAGCUGCCCCGUUUGGGAAGUGAGGAGCGCCUCUGCCCGGCUGCCCCGUCUGGGAGAUGAGGAGCACCUCUGCCCGGCCACCGCAUCUGGGAGGUGAGGAGCGCCUCUGCCUGGCCGCCACCCUGUAUGGGAAGUGAGGAGCACCUCUGCCCGGCCGCCCCGUCUGGGAGGUGAGGAGUGCCUCUGCCCGGCCACCGCAUCUGGGAGGUGAGGAGCGCCUCUGCCUGGCCGCCACCCCAUAUGGGAAGUGAGGAGUGCCUCUGCCCGGCCGCCCCGUCUGGGAGGUGAGGAGUGCCUCUGCCCGGCUGCCACCCCGUCUGGGAGGAAGUGAGGAGCACCUCUGCACGGCUGCCCUAUCUGGGAGAGGAGGAGCACCUCUGCCCGGCCGCCCCGUCUGGGAGGUGAGGAGCGCCUCUGCCUGGCCGCCACCCCGUCUGGGAGGAAGUGAGGAGCGCCUCUGCCCGGCUGCCCCAUCUGGGAAGUGAGGAGCACCUCUGCCCGGCCGCCACCCCGUAUGGGAAGUGAGGAGCGCCUCUGCCCGGCCGCCCCGUCUGGGAAGUGAGGAGUGCCUCUGCCCGGCUGCCACCCCGUAUGGGAAGUGAGGAGCGCCUCUGCCCGGCCGCCCCGUCUGGGAGGUGAGGAGCGCCUCUGCCCGGCCGCCCCGUCUGGGAGGUGAGGAGUGCCUCUGCCCGGCUGCCACCCCGUCUGGGAGGAAGUGAGGAGCACCUCUGCCCGGCUGCCCCGUCUGGGAGAUGAGGAGCACCUCUGCCCCGCCGACCCCGUCUGGGAGGUGAGGAGCGCCUCUGCCUGGCCGCCACCCCGUCUGGGAGGAAGUGAGGAGCGCCUCUGCCCGGCUGCCCCAUCUGGGAAGUGAGGAGCACCUCUGCCCGGCCGCCACCCCGUAUGGGAAGUGAGGAGCGCCUCUGCCUGGCCACCCCAUCUGGGAGGUGAGGAGCACCUCUGCCCGGCCGCCCUGUCUGGGAGGUGAGGAACGCCUCUGCCCGGCCGCCCCGUCUGGGAGAUGAGGAGCACCUCUGCCCGACUGCCCCGUCUGGGAGGAAGUGAGGAGCACCUCUGCCCGGCCACUCUGUCUGGGAGGUGAGGAGCGCCUCUGCCCGGCCGCCCCGUCUGGGAGGUGAGGAGCGCCUCUGCCCGGCUGCCACCCGGUAUGGGAGGAAGUGAGGAGCGCCUCUGCCUGGGCGGCCCCGUCUGGGAAGUGAGGAGCGCCUCUGCCCGGGCGGCCCCGUCUGGGAAGCGAGGAGCGCCUCUGCCCGGCCGCCCUGUCUGGGAGGUGAGGAGCGCCUCUGCCCGGCUGCCCUGUCUGGGAGGUGUACCCAACAGCUCCGAAGAGACAGCGACCAUCGGGAGCGGGCAGUGAGGACGAUGACGGUUUUGUUGAAAAGAAGGGGGGGAAGUGUGGGGAAAGGAAGGAGAGAUCAGAUUGUUGCUGUGUCUGUGUAGAAAGAGGUGGCCAUAGGAGACUCCAUUUUGUUCUGACUACGAGAAAUUCUUCUGCCUUGGGAUGCUGUUGAUCUAUGGCCUUUCCCCCAGCCCCGUGCUCUCUGAAACAUGUGCUGUGUCAACUCAGGGUUAAAUGGAUUAAGGGCGGUGCAAGAUGUGCUUUGUUAAACAGAUGCUUGAAGGCAGCAUGCUCUUUAAGAGUCAUCACCACUCCCUAAUCUCAAGUACCCAGGGGCACAAACACUGCAGAAGGCCGCAGGGACCUCUGCCUAGGAAAACCAGAGACCUUUGUUCAUGUGUUUAUCUGCUGACCUUCUCUCCACUAUCAUCCUAUGACCCUGCCAUAUCCCCCUCUCCGAGAAACACCCAAGAAUGAUCAAUAAAUACUUCAUAAAAAAAAAAAAA